UUAAUUAACUAUCUAUCAAACAAAAAAGAGUGGCUGCCAUCACAUUAUGUUGUGGGGGAAACUACAAAGAAGAUUCCUUAAAUUAAGUCUUCUUAGUCUAUUUCUUAAUAAUAAUUAAGUUGAGUAUUAAUUAAUUAUUUUGUAACAUCUUUUCCCCCUAUAUAAACUGCCUACCUAGGAAGCAACAUAGCAAACACAAAGAAACUUGAGGUUGGUAGAGCUCAUAUAUAGCCAUCUUGAAUUUUAUAUUUUUAUUACUACAUUUGUUUUUAAAACAUUUCUAACUUUUUCUUAUAUAAAUUAAUGCCCCCUAACAAUUGCAGUAAUUAUUUUCAGGUGAUUAUUGAUGAUGAUGAAGAAAAUUGUUAUUUUGUUUGUGGCUUCUCUUUUGAUUGUUGGAUUGAGUAAUGAAGUGAAUGUAGGAGUUGUAAGCAAGAAUCGUAAAUUGGUGAGUGAUUCAGCAGAUCGAUAUACUCCCGGUGGACCAACGCCUUGUUUCCAUUGCCUUAGUGAAGGCAAAGGUCAUCAAGUUCCUCCAUCAUCAAGCUCUCAAGUAAAAGCGAUUAGUGAUGACGAUGGAUCAGGCCGUUGAAGUUAAGCUUUUAUAAUAAAAGAUGGUGUAGUUCACUAUGAGCGUGUUUAAGCAUAAUGUAUAUGAAAAAUGCGAGUGGAAGUAUGUUUGCAUUGCUUAAUUCAGAGUUAUUGGAUGUCGAGUGAGUGAAAAAUAUAUGUGAAUUGGUAGGUGAAGAGUUUACAAAUUCAAAUGCUGUGUGGUUGUAUGGAUGAGUGAAUUUGUAGGAUUGUCGAAUUUGGUUUGAACUAUUUUAUUGAAUUUUAAUAUUCUAUGAUGAAAUGAAUAUUUAUAUGUUAUAUACACUUUGGGCUCGUUCGCUAC
rnacentral:lncRNA from 1 species